UACGUAGGUGGCAAGCGUUGUCCGGAAUUAUUGGGCGUAAAGCGCGCGCAGGUGGUUUCUUAAGUCUGAUGUGAAAGCCCACGGCUCAACCGUGGAGGGUCAUUGGAAACUGGGGAACUUGAGUGCAGGAGAGAAGAGUGGAAUUCCACGUGUAGCGGUGAAAUGCGUAGAGAUCAUGAGGAAGACCAGUGGCGAAGGCGGGUCUCUGGACAGUUCCUGACACUGAGACACGAAGGCCAGGGGAGCAAACGGG
rnacentral:rRNA from 1 species